UUCCAGUUCUUAAUUAAAUGGGCUUCGUCAAGAAUCAAGUACUUCCACUUCUUGCGCUUGAACAUUUUACUGUCCUGGAUAACUAGCCUAUAGGUUGUUAUGCAUACAUGAAAGGAGUUCAGCUUCAUCCAUCCUUGUCUCUUGAGUUUUCGCUCCUUUGCACUCCCAAAGUAGGUGAGGAUUUUGAAUGCAGGACACCAUUUAAGAAACUCAGUUUCCCAAUUAAGCAUCACACUUGUUGGAACCACGAUCAGAUGGGGACCCCAUAUCCCCUUAUCACAAGCAAGAUGUGCGAGAAGAGCGAUGGUCAUGAUCGUCUUUCCAAGACCCAUUUCAUCAGCUAAAAUCCCAUUCAACCUUUUCUCAUACAUCGUGACAAGCCAGUCUAAGCCAAUGUGUUGGUACUCACGUAAAGAAUGCUUGAGAAGAAACGGCAAUUUCGUUCUAACUUUUGUUGUAGAGUAUGUAAAUCCAGUUGGCUGUGCAGAUCUUGCUGCUGCUGCUGCAUCAGCAAUUUUGUCACUACUAUCUUUAGAGUCCUCAUACAAGUUGCGCUGCCUCUUAGACAAUCUGCAGAAAAUAACAUGCUCAUGCUUCUGAGGAAGUUGUUUUUCUACAUCUCUUUUUAGGCGUCGUAGAAGGAAAGGACGGAGGACAUUAUGCAAGCGAUCAAUAACUUCUCUAUUGAUUUUAUCUUGGCCCUCCACCAUCCCUGCUAUCGGGUUACAGAACCAAUCUUUGAACUCCUGGUGAGACUGAAAGACAUGUGGCAUCAGAAAAUGCAUCAGUGACCACAAUUCCAUAAGAUCAUUCUGUAGCGGUGUACCAGUCAACAAAAUUCUGCGUUUAGAAUUGAAGUUUAACAGAGUUUGCCAUCUCUGAGACUUCCAGUUCUUAAUUAAAUGGGCUUCGUCAAGAAUCAAGUACUUCCACUUCUUGCGCUUGAACAUUUUACUGUCCUGGAUAACUAGCCUAUAGGUUGUUAUGCAUACAUGAAAGGAGUUCAGCUUCAUCCAUCCUUGUCUCUUGAGUUUUCGCUCCUUUGCACUCCCAAAGUAGGUGAGGAUUUUGAAUGCAGGACACCAUUUAAGAAACUCAGUUUCCCAAUUAAGCAUCACACUUGUUGGAACCACGAUCAGAUGGGGACCCCAUAUCCCCUUAUCACAAGCAAGAUGUGCGAGAAGAGCGAUGGUCAUGAUCGUCUUUCCAAGACCCAUUUCAUCAGCUAAAAUCCCAUUCAACCUU
rnacentral:lncRNA from 1 species